GGGCGUGGCGGCAGGCUACACAUGCAGUCGAACGGCAGCACAGAAGAGCUUGCUCUUUGGGUGGCGAGUGGCGGACGGGUGAGUAAUGUCUGGGAAACUGCCCGAUGGAGGGGGAUAACUACUGGAAACGGUAGCUAAUACCGCAUAACGUCGCAAGACCAAAGUGGGGGACCUUCGGGCCUCACACCAUCGGAUGUGCCCAGAUGGGAUUAGCUAGUAGGUGGGGUAAUGGCUCACCUAGGCGACGAUCCCUAGCUGGUCUGAGAGGAUGACCAGCCACACUGGAACUGAGACACGGUCCAGACUCCUACGGGAGGCAGCAGUGGGGAAUAUUGCACAAUGGGCGCAAGCCUGAUGCAGCCAUGCCGCGUGUAUGAAGAAGGCCUUCGGGUUGUAAAGUACUUUCAGCGGGGAGGAAGGCGGUGAGGUUAAUAACCUUGCCGAUUGACGUUACCCGCAGAAGAAGCACCGGCUAACUCCGUGCCAGCAGCCGCGGUAAUACGGAGGGUGCAAGCGUUAAUCGGAAUUACUGGGCGUAAAGCGCACGCAGGCGGUCUGUUAAGUCAGAUGUGAAAUCCCCGGGCUUAACCUGGGAACUGCAUUUGAAACUGGCAGGCUUGAGUCUCGUAGAGGGGGGUAGAAUUCCAGGUGUAGCGGUGAAAUGCGUAGAGAUCUGGAGGAAUACCGGUGGCGAAGGCGGCCCCCUGGACGAAGACUGACGCUCAGGUGCGAAAGCGUGGGGAGCAAACAGGAUUAGAUACCCUGGUAGUCCACGCCGUAAACGAUGUCGACUUGGAGGUUGUGCCCUUGAGGCGUGGCUUCCGGAGCUAACGCGUUAAGUCGACCGCCUGGGGAGUACGGCCGCAAGGUUAAAACUCAAAUGAAUUGACGGGGGCCCGCACAAGCGGUGGAGCAUGUGGUUUAAUUCGAUGCAACGCGAAGAACCUUACCUGGCCUUGACAUCCAGAGAACUUAGCAAAAAUGCUUUGGUGCCUUCGGGA
rnacentral:rRNA from 1 species